rnacentral:rRNA from 1 species
UACGUAGGGUGCAAGCGUUGUCCGGAAUUAUUGGGCGUAAAGAGCUCGUAGGCGGCUUGUCACGUCGACUGUGAAAACCCGGGGCUCAACUCCGGGCCUGCAGUCGAUACGGGCUGGCUUGAGUGCGGUAGGGGAGACUGGAAUUCCUGGUGUAGCGGUGAAAUGCGCAGAUAUCAGGAGGAACACCGGUGGCGAAGGCGGGUCUCCGGGCCGUAACUGACGCUGAGGAGCGAAAGCGUGGGGAGCGAACAGG